rnacentral:tRNA from 1 species
GGCGGUCUAGUGGUAUGAUUCUCGCUUUGGGUGCGAUAGGUCCCGGUUUCGAUCACCGGCUCGGCCC